AACGAGGGCGAGAAGAAAUACAAGAAGUGCAUCCAGUGCUUCAGCCCGGAGCUCAACGAGUGGAUGGAGGACGACGAGUUGCCCGAGGCCACCGUGGGCGUGUCCUGCUGCACCCUCUCGAUGCCCAACAGCGUGACCCGGGAAUCCCGAGCCAGCUCGGUGUCCUCCGUGCCAGUCAGUAUCUGAACCCAGGUAGAUGCGGGGACGCAGGAAGAACAAAUAGGCGUUCGUGGGUAACCUUUGAGUUAGCGGAAAGGAAAAUAUAUAACCUUUACUACAGUGGUUGUAUCUUAAACUAUAUCGAGGCCUAUGUCUUGGUGGUUUUAAAUUCCGGGUAUGGCUUAAUCUACCUCUGGGUCUGUUUUUUUGUUUUUUGUUUGUUUGUUUGUUUGUUUUUUUUUUUUUUUUCUGUAAGCCACAAAGAAAAGAAACCACUCCUUUCACCGGCCAUUGGGUGGCAGGCAGAAUUCAUUGCAGGCAGUCUUCCACCAGGGCGUUUUCCCUUCAUGCAUAGCGGUUACACCCACAUCUGAGAAUUUUCUUUUACCCUUCAGUAGACGGGAAGCUUAUUCGAGUAAGCAGUUUCAUGUACAAAAGGUUAUCUUCCUCUUUCUCUUUUUCUUUCGGAAGUUAAAAGCAUUCAUAGCUUUUAUUUUAAAAUGGAAAUCCGUCUAUAUCCAUAAAGACUUAAUUCUAUAUUUAAAUGCAGUUUCUUUUUCUAUACGUGACUGAGUAAAGAAUAUUGAAAGGCAUCCCGUGACAAAGUCAUAAAGCUUAAAACAACGUCUGACUGGAAAGUAACAGGGAUUCCUCCCUGUAACUGUCACAUUGAUACCUUUGGUUUAUCCCUUGUUCUCUUUUUCCUCUGUGCCUCAGUCUCCAGUGUAGUUGCUAUCAAAAAACACUGCUCUCAAAGAAGAGAACCACUAGUCAUUUAGUUUAUGGUGUAAAUUUAGAUCAUUUUGUUGUUUUUCCUACAAGUGUUUGCACUUCAACCUUCCUCCCCUAUUAAAGGAAUUGCAAGUAUGAUGGGAGCCUUACUCUGACCCUAAAAACUACACGGAGAUGCAAACUUGACCCAAUGUAAGCCCCAAGAAAGAACACCAAAUAAAACUAUGGCUGUAAGGAUCAUUAACUUAAAGCUUAUGUAGCCCGAAGGUUAUACAACUGGUAACAGUAAUGUGAUUUCCCCCAUUUUUUUUUUUUUUUUUAAUGGAUGAGAAUGAAGGGAACGUUUGGAAUUCUUGGGUUUGGCAAUAACAUCCUGGUGGUAAAUGUCAUUGUUUUCCAUUUCACAGCAAUCCUCUUGAUUUCUUAAUUAAAAAUCUAACACAUUUAUCUCACAUGGAAAUAUCAAAAUAAUAUAUGCCCAUUCUGUUAUGUAUGUUUUCACUUCGUCUGCUCCAAAUUAACUUUGCAAAUUAAGGUGUAUCCACUUGAUAUCAUUUUCUUACAUGUUUGCCAAGUUUUGGAGCAAGGGAAUGAUUGUAGUAAAUGAUACAUAUUUUCCUUUCUUAUAAUUUAUCACUUUAUUCUUUGAUAGUUUCUUUGUUUUGGAGAAGUGGCCUAUCAGUUAUGGGUUAUGUGCAAUUAGGUUUUGAAAAAUAAAACUAUUUAAAUGGUUAAACACGGGAUACGUGGAAAUGUAACUGGGUUCUCAUUAAUCCCAUUUCUCCUACCUUGUGUAGAUAGAUAGGUUAUUGCUAGAGUUACAAUAUUUAUAUUUAAAAUAUUUUAUUUGAACUGUGAAAAGUGGUUCAUGUAGUACACUUUGUGGAACAAUUUUAUAUCAUUGCCCCUUAUGAAAAGUUCAAUUUCUGUGUAUUUAAUGGUAACACUUGGGUAAAGCCUACAACACUAUAAGUUGAGAACAAGGCAUUGUUAAUGUAAAAACACUGGGCUGUUUCCUCACCCCACACAGAACAUUCAGAGCUUCUCCACGUACGGAGCAAAUCUAAAGGUAUCUGCUCCCUUGACUCUCUGUUCAGGCUGGAAAGUAAAGCUGUAUAAGAAACUAGUUUAUGGAGCAAGUUAAAUCACUGAGCCCCUUAAGUUACCAUUGUACAAACCACAGAUAACCCUUGUCCUUGAAGCAUCAUUGGGAAAAUAAACUUUUCAUUUUUAAUAAAUUAUUUUGGCCACAACCCACAAUGCCUGUGUGAGGGUGACUAUAACAUCUUUUAGUUUGAUAUAAAUGUAUGUUCUUGUACAGUUGAGAUGCCUGUAGUAUAUCACAAAUUUUGAGAGAAAAAAAGUGAUUUCUUAUGGAUUAUAGGUCAUAAGUGGGCAAAUAGACAUAAUUCCUGAUGUGCACUAGUAGUGUCUCCCGUUGAGAUCCUAGAAGUUCGGUGAAGUGGAGGGCCUAUGGCUUGGAAUGAAAUGAGAAUCAAUCAGUUGUAACAUUUUAUCUUGGAAGAAUGAGGAGAGAUUGACACUAGAGGAUUUUUCAGCAAUCAGAGCUUGAUGAGAGCUUGGUGCAGACACGAAAGUGGCUUUUUAGAGAUGAGAUUGGAGACAUGUUGGAGCUGGGUAAAUCAUUUGAAAUUACCGUGUAAUGUAUUUUCUACGUUGUUUAUUUUAAGACUGAGAAAACCCACGUGUCUGGGCAUACCAGGUUCCUGGGGACGAUGCUGCUCUCCCUUCUGUUUCAACAGUUAGGUCCAUAAAUAAAGACCAAUAUGAAUUUAGGAUCCUGGAAUUUCUGACAUGACAAAUUGGUAGGGAGCAUGGAACAUUAAGUGUUGGUGAAAGUGCUGUGUCCUGAAACAUCCCUCACUGACAACUGAAAGACACGAAAGUAUGUAGAAUCAAACUAAUGCGCGUCACUUUUUGCGCACGAGCGAAACGUACUCUUUAGCCCUGCCAUUGAAGCAGUUGCCCCUAGAACCGCGACGGUUUCUCCAUGUUUCCCAACUGGAAAAGCACUUCAUUUUCCAUGUGUUUAAAGCAUUCAAUUAUACUUUUGGUCUCAGGAUCCAACCCUAUACCUCCUUUUAUUUUUCUGAAAGAAAAGGACGUGUUAUUUUUGUAAUGCCAACAUCCUGUGACUAAAUAAAAGCAUCAGUUCCGCCUAUCAGAGCAAUAGCAAGUUACCCAGUAGCUGAAAUAAGAAGCUUUCUUUUUCUGAAUGGGCCAGAGACCUGAUGUGCGAGUCUCAAGGAAACAAGACUGUCAUGUGGUCUGUCUGUUGUUAGCGUGCCACUGUCGUCCCUGAUGCUCCAGUUGCUUUCGGUGUCAUUGAAUGAGUUUUGUGUUUACUUUCUCUGUUGUAAGACUGGUUAUGAAUAGAAGGUCAGUGAUGGUACAGAUUAAUAUAAUUCUAAACAGUAAUUAGACGGUAGCGGGGUGUUACGAGUGAAGAGGUGUAAUUGAGGCAAGAAGGAAGUGAAAAUGUACUGAAUGGUUCUAUGGUUAAGGCAACACAGCAAUUAUAGUAAGUGUAUUUUACAAAUAUGCAUGUAACUAGAGGCUUUCCUGGAAAUAUGUAAGUGUUAAAAGGUCAAUUUUUUGCUGGUUAUCUCGGCCAAAUGCCUUCAGAAUUUAUCCAAGACACUAGAUAAAAGAAACUAAAAUCACUUCAUUUAACUUUUUCCCUGAGUUACAAAGCAAUAAGUUUAUGUAAUCUUCUCUGAAUGAUUCUUCUGAAUUCUUUUCUGAACAAAUGUUCUCUGAAUGAGCUAUAUCCCCAUCCCAGCCACGGAUGAAUAUGUCUUCUAGCACAAGGCAGCAUUAUAAGGAAUUAUUUUUCAGUAUGUCUCUUCAUAUCAGUAAAAACUGUAGCAAAAUUUCCUCAAUGCUCCUCCCAUGGUAAUUAUGAGAACUAAAGAAUCUAAAAUAUUAAAGAUUUACCCUCCAGCACAUUCAGAAGGUAAAAACCAUUUAAAUUUCCUUUCCAGAGAAUUUGAGAUGAAAUGCUUGUCUUGGAUACUCCUUUUAAAACAACUUUGUAUCUAGUCAGCAAAUUCUGGCAAAAAAAAAAAAAUUCUUUGCUUAAAACAUUCUGGUACCAUAUAAGGAACAACAAACUAAGAUGUAUGUGGUGUCUGUAACCUCAUCACUACCAAUAAAGCUGCAUUCAGUAAGAGCUCAGCCAGUGAUCCACGUGGACAGUUUUGUAGUGUCCUUUGUGUGAUAAACUGGGGUGUGUGGUUUCUUCCUCUAGUUAGUUUUCACGGUGACUCACUUCAGCAAAACACAACAAGAAAACGAAAUGAGAUGAUUGAAGAGCUGUUUCAGCUACUUGAGGACUGGUAAAGGAAAAAUGUAUUUUUAUACAUCGAGAGUGAUUUGCUUUGUAGCUCAGACAAAAGCCUACGUUUGGUCUGUCUCAGCCCUGACCACUUAGAAGUCAUAGAUGAAGUGUGGUGGUUUCUAGUCUCGUUCCCACCCUGACCACAGCCAACCUGGCAUGGACUCUGGUUCAUCAUCAUUUGCAUCGAAACUACAUGUUAGGAAAUGAAACUGUAUUGUUGUGCCAACAAACCCUCACAACCUUACUCUUCCACCUCACCUUCCGAAUGAGCAAAUGAAAUAUAACCAACAUAAGAUGCCCAGUCUUUGAUCUGGUUUAGUAAAGAAUAACACUCAGUUGAGGCCAUUAGUCAUUUCUAGAAAAUUCUAAAUGGCAGCGAUUACUUUUUCGUAAACUUCUCCAAGCUUUGCCACCAUGAAAAGAGACUAGAAUGGCCCCCAAACAGAAACAGCCUGGUGCCACAUUCCCAGUUCUGAGCACACUGGCAGGUGCCCCAGAGUUUCCUUGACUUUUCUUUGAACUCCCACAUUUAUAACUCCAAGCUUCCCAUUGGUCUGCACUCCCUCCCAUGUCCACAUACUAGUCCAUUUAUCCAAUUCUUAGCACACGUGAAAUUAUUUAAAGACACUAAUUACAUCUAAGGCACUCCAGGAUGUAUCAAAGGAAUAACCAUAUUGCACACACUGCGUUUGCAAAUUUGAUAGACUAGAGACCGAAAGAUAUUCAAAACUACCUCUAGGCUUUCCCCUCACCGGGGUUGCAGGGGAAGUGGAUUAGGAAGUCCAUUUCAGGAAAGGGACUUGAAGGAAUCCAACCCACACCCUCUAGAAAUACUCUUUUUGGCCCUUCUUUUCCUUUCUAGCUACAUUCACAAGAUGGUCUAUGAAUGUAGGUGUAGGAUGCAUUAUUCUUUAUGCCAAUGUCAAUCUUCCACCCAGUUUCAGACCAGACAUGCUCCUUAAAGAGUGGUGAGGGGGAGGCCCUUUUCCCCAACCUUUUGACAAAUACAGUAGUCUCUGGUUAGCCUAAAGAUCCUAUAUCUUCUUUUCUUUUUUUUUUUUUUUCAACGUUUAUUUAUUUUUGGGACAGAGAGAGACAGAGCAUGAACGGAGGAGGGGCAGAGAAAGAGGGAGACACAGAAUCGGAAACAGGCUCCAGGCUCUGAGCCAUCAGCCCAGAGCCUGACGCGGGGCUCGAACUCACGGACCACGAGAUCGUGACCUGGCUGAAGUCAGAUGCUUAACCGACUGCGCCACCCAGGCGCCCCCUAUAUCUUCGUUUCUUAUCCCUUUCAGAAAAGCACCUUUUAAAGUCAGUCUGACUCAUCCUGGAGAAAUUACUAUUUAGAUUUUGCCUUGAUAAUUCAGUCACAGCUAUGGAAGUGACUGCAACUUUCAAAAAAGAAGACCUCUUAAAAUUACGAUUCAUCUAGUGCAGAUAAGGGUGAUAUAUCAAAAUGGAAGAAAUGAGACCUUGAUUAUAGUGAGAAACAUUUCUCUUUACCUUACCUCCAUCCCCACUGUUGCAACAUGUACCCACAGGAGGGAAGUGUCCAGUGAUAUGAAUGGAGGACUUACAUCUUUUUAUCUAGCUGUUUUUGCUUUGUGCUCACAUUUAGGUUAUCACUGUAGACUCUACAUUCAGAAAUUCCUUUUCCAUCUUGGAGACAUCACUACCAACAAUUGGGGGGGGGGAAACUGAGCAGGAUCUGGUUUUGGUGGGCCAGGUAUGGAAGUAACCUAUGUCAAUUCCACCUACAUCACUUUGGCCAGAACUAAGCAUAUGGCUGUACCUAGAUACAAGGGAGCUGGAGAAACAGACUUCAUGUGAGCCCAAGAGGAAGAAGAAAGGAUUUCAUACAGUGUUGUCUCUGCACAUUGAAUGAUUACAUUUUGGAAACCACUGCUCUCACUUCCUCCCUGGUUUCCCAGGGAGCAAGGAGCUUCCCAGGCAAACUGCCUCCCCUCAACUUCUGGAUGUGGUCACAGCACAGCGGGUUCUCCUCUUUCCCUUUCCUGCCUCAUAAGACUUGCACUCAGCUCCUCUAUUGUAUCUUGCCUUUUUCUUUCUGAAGAACAAGUCCAGAUGACUCUUGCAGCCUUUUCUCAAUUCAGGGCCCUGAUAGGUCUACAGCAUACAUUACAUGUAUUCUGUAAGCCUUGAGAAUUGGUAUAAAUCUGGCUCCCCCAAAUCAUCAAGGAAACCCAUCCAAUACCAGAAUCACCCCCUCAUCCCUCCCUCUUUGGGUCUCCCUGCCCCUCUACUUCUAGAAUACUCUAAAUUCUUCUUGAUUUUACCUCUUCUAAAACAGUAUUGACUAGAAAUCAUACAUCUGUGAUUAAAUUCCUCUUACUCCAGUCAUACAAGGAAAUUCCCAAUGCAUGAUUGUUUGGAGAGAAUAGAACACAUUAUGUAGAGUCUAAAAGAGGAAAUACAUGGAUCUAUUCUUAAUAACCACAAGAAGAGAGGAUUCCUUAAUGAGAAAGGGAGAAAGAAAAUGAAAUGGCUAUAAUUUGACCCCCAAGUCUUCUUCCCUAACCUUUAUGCAACCUUUCCAUUUAGUGUAGAGCUCCAAGCUGAGAAUUGUUUUAUUCUUAUUUUUUUAAGGUUUAUUUAUUUACUUUUAAGAAAGAGAGAGAGCACAAGGAGGGGAAGGACAAAGAGAGAGAGAGGGAGACACAGAAUCCAAAGCAGGCUCCAGGCCCUCCGCUGUCAGCACAGAGCCCGAUGCGGGGCUUUAACUCAUGAACUGUGCGAUCAUGACCUGAGCCGAAGGCUGACAUUUAGCCCACUGAGCCACCCAGGUGCCCCCAAGAGUUUUAUUCUAUCACAAUUUUGCAUGUGGGUAACAAAGGAAAUUCUGUAUGUAGAAAGAAUCCUUUCCUUGUUUAGCAAAUAUUCAUUGAACAUAACCAUGUACCAAGCACACUGUUGGAACACCAUUGUGAAAAGGUGCUAUGUUUCCCCCAGGGAAAGUGAAGAACCAGAAUUCCCAUGGGACACUGCUACCUGAUGCAUACUCAUUUGGGCAGAGGCAACCCUACGAAGUACAAUCAUAUUAACAGGCAUUUACUUAUUGCCAAGUUUCGUGCUCCUGAGGUCCUGUGCAGAAGAGAAAGAUAAACCUAACUUAGAGCCUGGCCUCACAGAGCCUUUUAGAAGGGGUGAAAGUUGGAGUGCCUUGGUGGCUGAGUCGGUCAAGUGUCCAACUCUUGAUUUCAGCUCAGGUUGUGGGAUCCCAGGGUCAUGAGAUCAAGCCCCGCAUCGGGCUCUGCGCUAAGCGAAUGUAGAGCCUGCUUAAGAUUCUCUCUCUCCUUCUCCUAAAAAGAAAGAGAAGCAGAAGAAGGGAAAGAAGGAGAAGUAAAAGUUUUCUAAUUGACUACAUUUGGACAGUAUUCUUUUAUUUCCCAACCCCAUACCCCUGAUCCUGCUCUGUCUGUCUUUGUCCUGCUCUGUGCUCUCAGAGGCUGACCCCCAGGGACUACACCCUCCAGACUCAGACUCUUUGUUCCAUAGGUUGUAUUUACCCAGUGAGGCAUCAGGAGGAGGUAGAGGGCAGAAGAGAGUGGUUGGGGCAUCUCUUUCCUGUCCUUCCGGGCUUCUGCACUGCACUCUGGCCACUGCUGCAACUCUCUGCAACUACUGCUUCUUCUGGGCGAGCCCCCCUCCCUGCCUCCACCUCUCACACACAACACGUCACAGCCCUGCAGCUCCUGGAUAUUUCCUUCCCAGUUUAUGUACAUUCCGCCACCCCUUUCAGAAUACGUUCCUUCAAAGUGAGAACACUGUCUCCCCUGUUCACUGCUGUACCUCUAGUGUCCAGAACAAUUCUGGUGUACAGCCAGGGUAUCAGUAUUUUUUGUUGAGUAAAUGGAUGAAUGAAUGAAUGAAAUGAUAAAACCAUCAUGUUUAUAUGUUUAAUACCAGAUUCCUAUUCUAAUGAUACUCACUUAUUCAAUCAGUAAUCAGUAUUACUGUAUUCAGUAUUCAAUCAGUAAUUCAAUCAGUAAAUACUUACUGUGUAUCUAUGAUACUCAAAUCGCUUUCCCUUACCCCGGAAGAGGUGAGCACAAUUACCAUACAAGACCAUGAAAAUAGGUCUUCUCUAAACGAAUGGCAGCCAAGAGUUACAUUGUCAAGAAACAGUACAGGUGGAAGGAAUUAUCCAGCCAAACCUUUACUGUACAUUUCUGUUUUUUAAAAAAUCUCUCAGGGGCACCUGGGUGGCUCAGUCGGUUAAGCGUCCGACUUCAGCUCAGGUCAUGAUCUCGCAGCUCGUGGGUUCAAGCUCCAGGUCCUCCUCUGUGUUGACAGCUCAGAGCCUGGAGCUGCUUUGGAUUCUGUGUCUCCCUCUCUCUCUGCCCCUCCCCUACUUAUGCUCUCUCUCUCUCUCUCUCUCUGAAAAAUAAAUAAACAUUAAAAAAAGAAAGAAAUAUUUGUAAAAAAAUCUCAAAAGAUUGAUAAUAUUUAUAUAGUUAUUUUACCAUUAAACUUUCCAAAAUCUCAUUGCUUUCUCUCUAUAAUUGCCAAAUCUUUAAAAGCAAAUUAGGACUAGUUUCAGCAUUUAGCUGGUAACUGUUUAUUUAGUGUAUUUAUUUAGUAAUAAAUAUUUAGUGUCCAUAUUUAAACUGUUUAUUCAAUAUAGUUAUGUAUAGACAUACAUACAUUUGAUGCAAUACAUAUAUUGGUAUUUAUGUAUAUAUCCAUAUUUAUAUACAGUCUAUCAAAUGAUGUGCAUAUAUAUGUAUGUUUAGUAAGCACUAAACACCAGCUAAGGGCUGAAACUAAUCCUAUUAUAAAUAUAUAUACGUAUGUGUGUGUGUGAGUGCGCAUGUGUGUAACUAUAUAUACAUAUAUAUAUAUAUAGUUAUACUGUUACAGACUGAAUGUGUCCCCUGAAAUUUAUAUGUUGAAACCAUAUAUGAUGACAUUUGGAGGUGGGGCCUUUGGGAGGUACUUAGGUCAUGAGGGUGGAGUCCCAUGAUGGGAUCAGUGUCCCCAGAGAAGAGGAAGAGUCAGCUCUCUCUGCCACGUGAGGAUACAAAUUAGAAGACGGCCAUCUGUAAACCAGGAAGAGGGCCUUUGCCCAGAAUCCAACCACACUGGUACCCUUAUUUCAGAUUUUCAACCUCCGGAACUGUGAGAAAUAAAGAGUUGUUUAAGGCACCUGGUCUAUGGUAUUUUAUUAUGGUGGUCUCAGCCCAAGCAGACUAAGAGACAAAGAUAGGGAGAUAAAGAGAGACAGAGACAUAUCUGUAUUUAUAUCUUAUCAUGUCACUACAUGCUUGCAUCCUGAGAUUUACAGCUGUUCUGACUCCAACACCUUACUUUACAUGACAGCUAAAUGAGUUCAUAGGUAACGUUCAGUUCUAUAAAUACUUCUUGAGGGCAGCUGUGUUCGUGGUCACAUGUAGGAACCUGAGAAGUUUGGAGCCUACCCAUUGAUGCCCAGAGGACUUCUUCUGAUUCAGGAAUGAGAGAUAAAUAGAGGGACUCCUGGGAGCAGGGUCCCUGCAACCCGAACCCCGGCACCUUUCAGAACCCCAGAGCAGCCUCCAUCAGUGGCUCUGUCUUUCAAGUUUAAAGAUACAGAGGGCGAGGCAGAGUCCUGAACAAUGAACAGUAAGGCUCUAGGCCUGAGCACAGAGCCUGCUUUGGAUCCUCUGCCCCCCCUCUCUCUGACCUCCCCCUGCUCAUGCUCUCUCAAAAUUAAAUAAAACAUUAAAAAAAUAAAUAAAAAGACAAAACAUUGCAAAUUCCUCUGAGAGGGAGAUCUGCCUGUCCUUCAGAGACACAACACGGAAGCACACUUCUGAAAGUGAUGUGAGAGACGGGAGACUGACCCUGGGCAACCUUGGGAGCCAUGCGCUGAAAGUGAGAAGGCCAUUGGAAGAGAGUCUCCCUGUGGAAUGCUUGCAUUGAAUGGGGACAAAUUGGCUCCACUGAAAAUCCCCAAAAUACUAAGACAUUGUCUGUCUCAGUCCCACCUUGAUUCCUCCUGAAUUCUUCCAGUUGAAAUCCAGCUCUGUAAGCUAGUACCUUUGGUGAAGCCCUCUGUCCUCUGCGGCCACCCCCACCCCCACCCCCAGCCUGCACUGACCAGACACGGAAGACAGAGGAAGCCUUCAGGGGUGGUAACUCCCUGUGAUGUCUGUAGGGAGAUCAGGGCUCUGGGCUGCAGAAGGAAACUUUAAAUCAGAAGAGUGAGCAUCACCCAGGGCUGGGGGGAUGUGAGUCCUCUGCUGCGGUGGGUGCCACCAUUAUGCCCUGACACACACAGCCUGGGUUCCGGCACAGCAUGGCUGUGAUGCCUCCUAGGUUUGCUGUAGGGAUUUUGCUGUAGGUUUGCAGGUGGAGCCUAGAGAGGCCAGUGCUCACAGGCUGGUCUUCUCUGGCUGCAUCAGCCUUUUCCAUAGCCUCCUCAGUGCACCAUACAAAUAAUUUUUUUGUGCACUUACUCUCUGCUUGGGCAGAGCAAAGUUACAAACCCUGGCCUCCCCCUCUCCCAGUCCCACUAAUGGUCUGUCCUGGAUUGAGGCAGUUGUUUGGGUCAGAGGUGGCACACUUUGCAGGGGCCUGUGCCAGUCAUGUGGCUCAGAGGAUACUAGCAACCAGAGGUGGCACUGUGGGACCCUUUGGAGUGACGGAGGGCCUGCUGACUGCCACAACAAUGACUUCCCGGCAGUCCUGAGCAGCUGUGUUGUGCUCUGCCAGGCUUGUCGGAACACUGGAGACAAUGCCCGGUUCUCUCUGGGUUUUCUCAUGGUUUUGGCAUUGGCUCUUUAUAGUAAAGAGCCCAUGUUCUUUAAAGGGGGAAAAGAACUAGGCAAAAGAUCAUCUGCCCCAGGGUGGAAGAAUAUGGCAAAGUCAGGGAGAAGACUGGUCUGCUCACAAGACCAAGAAGGACUCAAGUCACCACCAGUGGAGGUGAGUCCUCCGAUGGGCCAAGCACCAUAUUCGGCAGCCCUUGACUGAAAGCUGAGCAAGUUCAUCUCUUCUCUAGAGGAUACAGCAGACCUUCCUGACAGAUCACAGAAAAGUGAGACACCUAUGGGGCACCCGGGUGGCUCAGUUGGUAAAGCGUCUGACUCUUGAUUUUGCCCCAGGUCAUGAUCUCAUGAUUUAUAAGUUCAAGCCCCACAUGGGGCUCCAUGCUGACAGUGCAGAGCCUGCUUGGGAUUCUCUCUCUCUCUGUCUCUCCCCCUCCCUGCUCUUGCUCUCUUUCUCUCUCAAAAUAAAUAAACUUAAAAAAAAAACCUUAAAAGCCAGACACCCAAACUUUCAUUUCAUUUCAUGGAAUAAUAAAGACUCGCCUUCAAGGACAGACACAUGGUCACUUGCAGAUGAUUCAAAAUCCUUCCAGUCCCUAGUAACUCACAUCAAAAUAUGCCUUUAUUUUUUUUUUAAACCAUCAGUGGUAAGAUGUAUUUGUUCUUUAGGUAAAGGAGAAAAGGACCAAGGUAAAAGCCAUGUUGAAAUUUACAAAUACGACCCAUUUAAAGAGGUUAGGAAAAUCUCACAGCAAGAGCAGUCAAGCUUUUCUAAUACAAGGAUAUGGCUUGCAUAGAAUAUUUCCCAUUAAAUUACAACAAUUACCCAGGCCCUAAAAUUUGAGAAAUAAAAAGAUUUUAGGAAGUGCAGUUGAUCCAUGUUGAUCCACAGAGGAUGUGGAUAAUAGUCUUGGGAAAUACAGGUAACAACUGAAGGUUAGGUAGUACAAAUUUCCACUUUAUUUACUUUUGUGUGUGUUUGUGUGUUGGGGAAAAGCAAGCUCAUUUUAUUUUAUUUAUUUUAUUUUUAUGGAUUUUAUUUUAUUUUAUUUUUUUAGUUUACAUCCAAGUUAGCAUAUAGUGCAACAAUGAUUUCAGGAGUAGAUUCCUUAUUUAGCCCAUCCCCCCUCCCACAUCCCCUCCAGUAACUCUGUUUGUUCUCCAUAUAUAAGAGUCUCUUAUGUUUUGUCCCCCUCCCUGUUUUUAUAUUUUUGCUUCCCUUCCCUUGUAUUCAUCUGUUCUGUGUCUUAAAGUCCUCAUAUGAGGGAAGUCAUAUAUUUGACUUUCUCUGUCUAAUUUCGCUUAGCAUAAUACCCUCCAGUUCCAACCACAUAGUUGCAAAUGGCAAGAUUUCAUUCUUUUUGAUUGCCAAAUAAUACUCCAUUAUAUAUAUAUAUAUAUAUAUAUAUAUAUAUACACCAUAUCUUCUUUAUCCAUUCAUCCAUCGGUGGACAUUUGGGCUCUUUCCAUACUUUGGCUACUGUCGAUAGUGCUGUUAUAAACAUUGGGGUGCAUGUGCCCCUUCGAACAGCAUACCUGUAUCCCUUGGUAAAUACCUAUUAGUGCAAUUGCUGGGUCAUAGGGAAGUUCUGUUUUUAAUUUUUUGAGGAACCUCCAUGCUGCUUUCCAGAGUGAUUGCACCAGUUUGCAUUCCCACCAGCAGUGCAAAAGAGAUCCUUUUUCUCCACAUCCUCACCAAACAUCUGUUGUUGCCUGAGUUGUUAUUGUUAGCCAUUCUGAUAGGUGUGAGGUGGUAUCUCAUUGUGGUUUUGAUUUUUAUUCCCCUGAUGAUGAGUGAUGUUGAGCACUUUUUCAUGUGUCAGUUGGCCAUCUGGAUGUCUUCUUUGGAGAAGUGUCUAUUCAUGUCUUUUGCCCAUUUCUUUACUGGAUUAUUUAUUUUUUGGGUGUUGAGUUGGAUAAGUUUUCUAUAGAUUUUGGAUACUACCCUUUAUCUGAUAUGUCCUUUGCGAAUAUCUUCUCCCAUUCCAUCGGUUCUCUUUUAGUUUUGCUGAUUGUUUCCUUUGCUGUGCAGAAAGUUUUUAUUUUGAUGAGGUCCCAGUAGUUCCUUUUUGCUUUGGUCUCCCUUGUCUCUGGAGACUUGUUGAGUAAGAAGUUGCUGCGGCUGAGGUCAAAAGAAGUUUUUGCCUGCUUUCUCCUCGAGCAUUUUGAUGGCUUCCUGUCUUACAUUUAGGUCUUUCAUCCAUUUUGAGGUUAUUUUUGUGUAUGGUGUUAAGAAAGUGGUCCACAUUCAUUUUUCUGCAUGUUGCUGUCCAGUUUUCCCAGCAGCACCACUUGCUGAAGAGACUGUCUUUAUUCCAUUGGAUAUUUGUCCCUGCUUAGUCAAAGAUUAGUUGGUGAUAUGUUUGUGGGUCCAUUUCUGGGUUCCCUAUUCUGUUCCAUUGAUCUGAGUGUCUGUUUUUGUGCCAGUACCAUAUUGUCUUGAUGAUUACAGCUUUGUAAUACAGCUUGAAGUCUGGGAUUUGAUGCCCCCAGCUUUGGUUUUCUUUUUCAAUAUUGCUUUGGCUAUUUGGAGUCUUUUGUGGUUCUAUCCAAAUUUUAGGAUUGUUUGUUCUAGCUCUGUGAAGAAUGCUGGUGUUGUUUUGAUAGGGAUUGCAUUGAAUAUGUAGAUUGCUUUGGGUAGUAGUGACAUUUUAACAAUAUUUGUUCUUCCUAUCCAGGAGCAUGGAAUCUUUUUCCAUUUUUUUAUGUCUUCUUCAAUUUCUUUCAUAAGUUUUCUAUAGUUUUCAAUGUAUAGAUUUUUCACCUCUUUGGUUAGAUUUAUUCCUAAGUAUUUUAUGGUGUUUGGUGCAAUUGUUAAUGGGAUCGAUUCCUUGAUUUCUCUUUCUGUUGCUUCAUUGUUGGUAUAUAGGAAUGUAACUGAUUUCUGUGCAUUGAUUUUAUAUCCUGCAACUUUGCUGAAUUCAUGGAUCAGUUCUGGCAGUUUUUUAGUGGAAUCUUUUGGGUUUUCCAUAUGGAACAUCAUGUCAUCUGCAAAGUGAAAGUUUGACCUCCUCCUGGACGAUUUGGAUGCCUUUUAUUUCUUUAUGUUGUCUGAUUGCUGAAGCUAAGACUUCCAAUACUAUGUUGAGUAACAGUGGUUAGAGUGGACAUCCUUGUCUUGUUCCUCACCUUAGGGGGAAACUCUCAGUUUUUUCCCAUUGAGAACAAUAUUAGUGUUGGGUCUUUUAUAUAUGGCUUUUAUGAUCUUGAGGUAUGAUCCUUCUAUCCCUACUUUCUUGAGGGUUUUUCUCAAGAAAGAAUACUGUAUUUUGUCAAAUGCUUUCUCUGCAUCUAUUGAGAGGAUCAUAUGGUUCUUGUCCUUUCUUUUAUUGAUGUGAUGAAUCACGUUGAUUGUUUUGUGGAUAUUGAACCAGCCUUGCAUCCCAGGUAUAAAUCCCACUUGGUUGUGGCGAAUAAUUUUUUUUUAAUUUUUUUUUAACGUUUAUUUAUUUUUGAGACAGAGAGAGACAGAGCAUGAACAGGGGAGGGGCAGAGAGAGAGAGGGAGACACAGAAUCAGAAGCAGGCUCCAGGCUCUGAGCCAUCAGCCCAGAGCCCGACGCGGGGCUCGAACUCACGGACCGUGAGAUUGUGACCUGCGCUGAAGUCGGACGCUUAACCAACUGAGCCACCCAGGCGCCCCACGAAUAAUUUUUUUAAUGUAUUGUUGAAUCUGGCUGGCUAAUACCUUGCUGAGGAUUUUUGCAUCCAUGUUCAUCAGGGAAAUUGGUCUAUAGUUCUCCCUUUUAGUGGGGUCUUUGACUGGUUUUGGAAUCAAGGUAACGCUGGCUUCAUAGAAAGAGUUUGGAAGUUUUCCUUCCAUUUCUAUUUUUUGGACAACUUCAAGAGAAUAGAUGUUAACUCUUCCUUAAAUGUUUGGUACAAUUCCCCUGGAAAGCCAUCUGGCCCUGGACUCUUGUUUUUGGGGGAGAUUUUUGAUUACUAAUUCAAUUUCUUUACUGGUUAUGGGUCUGUUCAAAUUUUCUAUUUCUUCCUGUUUCAGUUUUGGUAGUGUACAUGUUUCUAAGAAUUUGUCCAUUUCUUCCAGAUGGCCCAUUUUAUUGGUGUAUAAUUGCUCAUAAUAUUCUUUUAUUAUUGUUUUUAUUUCUGCUGUGUUUUUGUGAUCUCUCCUCUUUCAUUCUUGAUUUUAUUGGUUUAGGUCCUUUCCUUUUUCUUUUUGAUAAAACUGGCUAGUGGUAUAUCAAUUUUGUUAAUUCUUUCAAGGAACCAGCUUCUGGUUUCAUUGAUCUGUUCUACUGGUUUUUAUUUUUUUGUUUGCUUGGUUUCAUAGCAUUAAUUUCUGCUCUAAUCUUUAUUAUUUCCUGUCUUCUGCUGGUUUGAGGUUUUAUUUGCUGUUCUUUUUCCAGCUCUUUAAGAUGUAAGGUUAAGUUGUGUAUCUGAGAUCUUUCUUCCUUCUUUAGGAAGGCCUGGAUUGCUAUAUACUUUGCCCUUAUGACCGCCUUUUCUGCUUCCCAGAGGUUUUGGGUUGUGGUGUUAUCAUUUUCAUUGGCUUCCAUGUACUUUUUAAUUUCCUCUUCAACUUCUUGGUUAUCACAUUAAUUCCUUAGUAGGAUGUUCUGUAGUCUCCAAGUAUUGGUUACCUUUCCAAAUUUUUUCUUGUGGUUGAUUUCGAGUUUCAUAGCAUUAUGGUCUGAAAGUAUGCAUGGUAUGAUCUGGAUCUUUUUGUACUUGUUGAGGGCUGAUUUUUGUCCCAGUGUGUGGUGUAUUCUGGAGAAUGUUCCAUGUGCACUGGAGAAGAAUGUAUAUUCCACUGCUUUAGGAUGAAAUGUUCUGAAUACAUCUGUUAAGUCCAUCUGGUCCAGUGUGUCAUUCAAAGCCAUUGUUUCCUUGUUGAUUUUUCUGAUUAGAUAAUCUGUACAUUGCUAUAAGUGGGGUGUUGAAGUCCCCUAUUAUGGUAUUAUUAUCAAUGAGUUUCUUUGUUUGUGAUUAACUGAUUUAUACAUUUGGGUUCUUCCACAUUUGGAGCAUAAAUGUUUACAAUUGUUAGGUCUUCUUGGGGGAUAGACCCCUUAAUUAUGAUAUAAUGUCCUUAUUCAUCUCUUGUUACAGUCUUUAUUUUAAAGUCUAGAUUGAUAAAAGUAUGGCUACUCUGGCUUUCUUUUGUCGACCAUUAGUGUGAUAGAUGUUCUGCAUCCCCUUACUUUCAAUCUGAAUGUGUCUUUAGGUCUAAAGUGGGUCUCUUGUAAACAACAUAUAGAUGGAUCUUGUUUUCUUACCCAUUCUGUUACCCUGUGUCUUUUUAUUGGAGCAUUUAGUCCAUUGACGUUUAGAGUGAGUACUGAAAGAUAUGAAUUUAUUGACAUUAUGUUGCUUGUAGAGAUGGAGUUUCUGGUGGUGUUCUCUGGUACUUUCUAGUCUUUGUUGCUUUUGGUCUUUCUUUCUUUCUUUCUUUCUUUCUUUCUUUCUUUCUUUCUUUCUUUCUUUCUUUCUUUCUUUCUUUCUUUCUUUCUUUCUUUCUUUCUCAUCUUUUCUCCCCUCAGAGAGUCCCCCUUAAAAUUUCUUGCAGGACUGGUUUAGUGGUCAUGAACUCCUUUAAUUUUUGUUUUUCUGGGAAACUUUUUAUCUCUCCUUCUAUUUUGAAUGACAGCCUUGCUGGGUAAAGAAUUCUUGGCUGCAUAUCUUUCUGAUUCAGUACACUGAAUAUAUCCCACCACUCCUUUCUGGCCUGCCAAGUUUCUGUGGAUAGGUCUGCUGCAAACCUGAUCUGUCUUCCCUUGUAGGUUAAGGACUUUUUUCCCUUGCUGUGUUCAUGAUUCUCUCCUUGCCUGAGUAUUUUGUGAAUUUGAAGAUGAUAUGCCUUGUUGAUGGUUGAUUUUUGUUGAAUAUAAUGGGAGUCCUCUGUGCUUCCUGUAUUUUGAUGUCUUUGUCUUUCCCCAGGUUAGGAAAGUUUUCCCAUAUGAUUUGCUCACAUAACCCUUCUACCCCUUUUUCUCUUUCUUCACUUUCUGGGACCCCUAUGAUUCUAAUGGUGUUCCUUUUUAAUGAAUCACUGAUUUCUCUAAUUCUUAAAUCGUGAUCUUUUGCCUUAGUCUCCCUCUUUUUUUCUGCUUCAUUAUUCUCCAUAAGUUUGUCCUCUAUAUCUCUGAUUUUCUGCUCUGCCUCAUCCAUCUUUGCUGCCAUGGCAUCCAUUCGAGAUUGCAGCUCAGUUAUAGCACUUUUUAUUUCAUCCUUACUAGCUUUUACUUCUUUUAUCUCCACAGAAAAGGAUUCUAAUCUAUUUUCGACUCUAGCUCGUAUUCUUAUUAUCAUGACUCUAAAUUCUGGUUCAGACAUUUUGCUUGUAUAUGUGUUGGUUAAGUCCCUGGCUUUCAUUUCUUCCUGCUCUUUCUUUUGGGGUGAAUUCCUUUGUUUCAUCAUUUUGAAGGAGAAAAGGAAUUAAUGAGUUAAAAAAAUUAAAAUUAAAAAAAUUAAAAUUAAAAAAAUUAAAAUUAAAAAAUUAAAAACAACGCGCACACACACACACACACACACAAAUCAAAUACAUAAUGCUAGAUCCUAGGUAUGUUUCCAUCUAGUUGUUGAAUGGGGCUUCAUAGAUUAGAAAAAAAAGGGGGGAAGAAAAAUUUUAAAAAGGAAAUCAUUUGAAAAUUUGAAAAAAUGAAUAUACUGAAAUAGAAUAAAAUGAAAUGAUGGAAGUAAAAUAGAGUCUGAAAAAAUUUACACAAAAGUAAAAAAUAUAGUAGAAAACAUUAAAGAGAAAUGUUUUUGAUAAAAAUUGAAAAUAAAAAUUUUUUUCUCUUUAUAUAUUCAAGAAAAAAAACAAAAAAGAGAAAAAAGAAAAAGAAAAUUGAAUAGAUGGACCAGUGAACAGACUGAAAUACGAUUGAAAUUACUUCAUUUUCCCCUAGAAGUCAAACUAUGAAGCUCUUUAUUGUCCAUAAACUAAGCAGGCAGAGAGACUUGUGUUCCUGAAGAGCAAGGUUGGCCCAGUUGGGCGGGGCUUAGUGUAAUGGCUCCAUUCUCCACUAGAUGGCGCUGCUUAGCUUACUGGGGUGGAUGGUUGUGGUGCUUGUAGGUGUGUAUGUGCACAGGCCGCAGGGUUGAAAAUGGUGUUACCCAGCUACCCAGUCUCUAGUAUUGGAACUCUGCUCACCGAUCAGCAAUUGCGCACCUGUCCUUUGUCUUUGGCUUUCUCCCACUUCCCACUUUGACGCUGUCCGUGACCAAGCCCCAGGUAGCACCUCCCUCCCGAGUUUUGUCUCAGAUGUAGCUGUGUUUCCCAGCCCCUCGCUUGUGAAGGACUGUGGCUUUGACCAGCUCAGACCUUCUGGGGGAUCGUCUCACUGAGCAAUGGCUGGGUGCUGGCCGCACCCAGGAACAUUUGCAUGACUGUGCUGCUGCCGGUGCCCAGAGACUGCAGCUGAGUGCCAGCCCACCCCAGAAAAAGUUCACGCGAUCAUGCAGCAGCAACAUUUCAGGGAUUAUGGCAAAUCACAACACACACCUGGCGCCAAGCUUCACCCUCAACGACCUUGUUCCAGCACUAGUGGAUGUGGUUGUUCUCCGAGGUCCACUGGGGCCUUUUCCUUUUGGGGGUGGGGGGCCACACAGACUCUACAGCUCCCAGCAAGGGAAUCACCUCUCCACAUGUGGCCCAAGGACCUGAGGACCUUGCUCUCUGCUCCUGGGGAUUCGCCCUUCCCACCAGAACACCACCAGGUACCGAGCUGCAGAGCCUCAGACUCUGCGCUCCCCCUCUUUAUAGAGUCUUAAUGGAAUUUAAACCCUCUCCUUUCUCCUUUCUCCCUGUUUUGUUCAGUCCCCGCAGCUGUUUCCACUUCUCCACUUUCUCUCCAGCUGCUUUUGGGGUGUGGUGCUUUUCCCAUACUCUCCUCCCAUCUCUGUCCUCUCUCUGCAAGCAAAAACAGUUCCCUGCCCUCUGUGGCUUCUGUCUCCCCCAGUUCACCUCUCUGCACCAGGUACCUGCUGAGUUCUGUGGUUCAGGUUGUGCAGAUUGUUGUGUAAAUCCUCAAAUCAGUUUUCUAGGUGUGCAGCAUGGUUUAGUGUUGACCUGGCUGUAUUUCAUGGACGCGAGACACAAAAAAAACUUCCAUGCUGUUUUGCCAUCUUGGCUCCUGUCCCCACAUCAAAAGUGUCUUUAAAGGUGGGGCGCCCUGGUGGCUUGGUCGGUUAAGCAUUUGACUUCAGCUCAGGUCAUGAUCUCAGAGUUCAUAAGUUCAAGCCCGGCAUUGGGCUGUCCACCCUCAGCACAGCGCCCACUUUGGAUCCUCUCCCGAACCCACCUCUCUCGCCUUCCCUCUCUCAAAAAUAAAUAAACAUUUAAAAAAAUGUUUUAAAGGAAUCUCAGAAGAAUGUAGAACAACUUCUGAGGAAAAUAAUGGAUGGCUUGGAUGAAAACACUCAUCCCAAGAGGUGAUAUGAUAGAUGAAAAGUAGGGGGAGAAAUGCUUGAAAAUUUAAGCCACGUGAAUAAAACAGGCCGUACAGGAUAAAGGGGGCCCGUUGAAAUCUCUGACUGAAACCGUGCUGGAGAUGAACCACUUGCCUGCUCCAUUUAGAGAUGGCCACAUGGAUGAUGGCAGCUUGUAGAAAAAAGAGAACUGGACAUGGCUGCCUAAAUGGUCAGCCACAAGUCAAUUUGAAGAAACUCAUUGAUGCCGCUAACUUAAAUGUUUCCUUAGAAGAUUUCAAGGAGAGAAACAAGGAAUUUUAGAAGUUUUUAAAAUAAUAUUGGGGUGCGUAGGUGGCUCAGUCUGUUAAGUGUCUGACUCUUGGUUUCAGCUCAGGUCAUGAUCUCGAGGUUUCAUGGGUUCAAGCCCUGCAUCGGGCUCUAUGCUGACAGUAUAGCACUUGCUCUCUCUGCCCCUCCCCCACUUGCACUGUCUCUGUCUCUCUCAAAAAACAAAUACUUAAAAAAUUUUUAAAUUAAAAAAAUUAUAAAAUUAAAAAAAGUUUUUUGAAUAAAAUCAAAUGAAGAGCUUACAGGUCACAAAAACUUUCUAAUCCAAACAACCAUCUUUAGUGGCUGAAAAUUCACAGCCUGAUGGGGAGAUUUAAGAGCUUCCAUUGAAACAUCAAAUACUGCCUGAACUGUGUCAAGAACAUAUUAUGAAACUUUGCAGAAAACCAGUCAAGGAGGUAAUUUACCUUAGAAGGUGAGAAAAAAAACUUGUUAAAAUGUAGGAAAGCAUCAGCACUAUAAACUGGAAACACAGCUCCCACCCAGAAGAUGGCUGGAGACCUGGGGGAAGAAUGGCAGUGGACAGCUUCCUUCUUUGCAAGCUGGACUGAUUAUCUCCUAUGGGUAAAGAAGCUCAAGAAGGUUGGUUGCCAACUGAGAGAAAGCUCAACAAGCCAGGACCAGGAAAUGGCCAAACACCCAAAAGUUGGCUGAAGCACAGUUUAAAUUGUAGUUUUCCCACGGGGUCUUAUGCGGGGCUGGUUAAUGUCCACACCCACACCCAAAUGUCUGGAUCCUGUACGUAUGUUCUGUUCCAUGGCGAAAGGGGCUUUACAGAUGUAAUUAAGGCUAUGACUCAUGAGGUGAGGAGACGAGCCUGGAUUAACCAAGUGGAUCCAAUCUAAUCGCUUGAGACCUUAAAAUGAGACUCCACUUCCAGCUGGAGUCAGAGACGCAGCAGCAGAGAAAGGAGCUUCCAAGUGUGAGAAGGAUUGACUGCACUAUUGCUGCCACUGAGGCAUAGGUGUCCGCAUGCAGAGAUUGAAGAGAAGCCUCUAGAAGCUACAGCCAGCCCCCAGCUGUCAGUUAGCGAGGAGAUGAGGACCUCAGCCCUACAGCUGCGAAGCACUGGAUUUUGCCAAUAACAACCAGAAUGAGCCUGGAAUGAGCCUCUCCAGAAGAAUGUGUCCUGUCGACACCUUGAUGACAGCCUGUGAAACCUGGAGCUGAGAAACCAGCAAGCUAACCCACACUUGCAACCUGCAGAAUAAAAGGCAAUAAAUGUGUGUUGCUUUAAGGCACUGAGUUGGGGUGAUUUGUCCAGCAACAGUAGAAAACUAAAGCCCCUAUUAUUCAACAAGCAGCCCUGGGCACAGGCCCAAGAGAAUUGGGGCAUCUCCUGGGUCAUCAGGUCCCCAGGGGAAAGGGAGGGUUAAGCUGUGAUGUCUCUGGAAUCCAGGGUCACAUGCUGGUCUGAUUCAACUUUCAAAGCCCCCAAUCUCUGUGUAUCCACAACAACCGAGUGAUUUUCCUGCAUCCUCUCUCUUUAAAAGUCAUUUUGAGGGAUGCCUGGGUGGCUCGGUUGGUUAAGGGUCUGACUUCAGUUCAGGUCAUGAUCUCACAUUUCGUGAGUUUGAGCCCCACAUUGGACUCUGCGCUGUGCCACAGAGCCUACUUCGUACCCUCUCUCUCCCUCUAUCUCUGCCUGCACCCUGCUCAUGCUCUUCUCUCUCUCAAAAAUAAAUAAACAUUAAAAAAAUAAAGACUUUAGAAGUCAUUUUGAUACAUCUCUUUUUAGUUCAACUACUAUUACUUAAUUGAUGAAACAUGUGCUGUUAGUAAGGUCUGAUAGAAUAAUUCCUAAGGUAAUGUUUUUCUAAUACAGAUGGUUGUUCUAUAAUUCUUGUACGUACGUCGUUUCCACUUCAGUAGACCCUGUAGAAUAUUGAUGAUAUAUUGCAUUUUACUUCAAGAAAAAGGUCCAUUAUUACUUAAAUUAUCAUUGAACCUUGACAUGACCAAAUGGAAACAUUUGGAAGAGUAAAGACCAUUUCUAUACCCUCUGAGCUGCUACUAGAAAUCAGUAAAAGUCCCCGGGCGCCUGGGUGGCUCAGUCAGUUAAGUGUCUGACUCUUGAUUUCAGCGCAGGUCAUGAUCUCACGGUUUGAGAGUUUGAUCCCUGAGCUGGGCUCUGUGUUGGCGGUGUGGAGCCUGCUUGGGAUUCUCUCUCCUUCUCUUUCUCUUUCUCUCUUUCUCUCUGCCCUUCCCUCACAUAUGUGUAUGCUCUUUCUCUUUCAAAGUAAAUAAAUCAACAUUAAAAUUUUUUAGAAAUCAGUAAAAGUAUUACCUCAAAAUGUUUUGACUGGUAUUUAAAACAACACAUACACACAGCCCCAAAUGGCAGCAUCAUCCCUAGCUGAACUUAGUAAUAUUUUUAUUAUUAAUUCAUAGAUUAGAGGAUUUGAUAUUUUGUAGCCAUUUCUUAUUUUUCGAUUUCUUUUUAACUUUAUUUCAUUUUUGAUAUUCCUUACUGUUCAAAUAUUUCUGAAUUUUAUGCAGUCGAAGUAAGUUUUUCCUUUUAUGAAAAACAUAAAGAUCCUUCUUGGGCAUUUAUUACAUCUAGCAACCUUCUGGGUACUGGAGACCCAAGAUGGCUGGCCCUGUGUCACUGUCCCUGGGGGGUGGGGAGACAAGGGGAAGAGGUGGAGGGGACAGACAUGUAAACGAAUUAUUGUUGUAGGACGCAGUACGUGUAAUUACAGGGGCAGGUGGGCAGCCUCACGGGAUUGCUGCAGGAGUGGCAGAUUCUAUCUGGAGGGGUUAAAGCAAGAGGGGCAAACUUGGAGCUGAAUUUUUAAAAAGAUUUAGAAAUUCAGUGUCACUGUGGGUUAUGUACUAUGUGCAAACAGCAUUAGCAAGUCUGUGCUCUUGCCUGUCUUGAAUUUUGCCAAGAAAUUUAGCAAGGGUUGUCCCCAGAAAGCCUCUUCUAUGGUCCUUGGAAAGUAGUCUAAACUGCAAGUCAGAAGCCUGGAAUUUUAUACCCAGAUCUUGCAUUUGCUAAACAAAUGGUUUGGGUCUCAGUUUUUGUAAAAAUGGCAAUUGAUCAUAAUCAUCCUGCUUCCUUCAUAGGAAAAUUAGUAAAGAUUGAAUUAGAGCAUGUAUGUGCAAACACCAGGACACUCUACAAAUUAACUGAGGUCGCAACAUUCCUGUUCUGAGUUGCCCAGGGCCAAUGUUAAUUACUACUACAUAUUAAAAGGACAGAUUAAGCAGACUAAUAAAAAUGAUGCCUUAGAGUUUCGUAGCACCUCUCCUCUGAAGCUGGGCACCCCUGUUCCCUCCUUAGGCCUUCCAGGGUCUUUCCAGGAUAACCAUGGCCUGUGUCAUUACCCCACACUUGUGGAAGAAUGGGGAGGAUCAGGUAGAAGGCCCAAGAUCGACAGGCAGAGUGAGGACUGGAGCUCCGGCCCUUGCCUUCAGACCAUUUCCUGGUACACAGAGUGCACAGAGCGCCAGGCAGGAAUGACCAUGGUGCUUUCUCACAAACUAUUUCAUUUUUAAAAAAUAAGUGUUUUUUUCUUUUAAGUUUAUUUAUUUAUUUUAAGAAAGAGAGAGAGCACAUGAGUUUGGUAGGGGCAGAGAGAGAGAGAAUUCCAAGCAGGCUCCACACUAUUAGUGUGGAGCCUGAUGGGGGGCUCAGACUCAUAAACUACGAGAUCAUGACCUGAGCCGAAAUCAAGAGUCAGAUACUUAAAAGACUGAGCUACCCAGGUGCCCCUCUCACAAACUAUUUCAAUAGUCGCCCAGAACAGAUAAAGAUGUAUUUGUUCUAAUUACAGAUGUUCAGCAGUAAGGCUCAUUCUCUUCAAUAUUCAACUGGAAUUAAAAACAAACAAACAAACAGGAGCGUCUGGGUGAGUCAGUCCUUUAAGCAUCAGGUUCUUGGUUUCGUCUCAGGUCAUGAUCUCAUGGAACAUGAGCCCUCAGUGGGGGCUGUCAAGACAUAGCCCUCUUGAGAUUCUGUCUGUCUGUCUCUCUCUCUCUGUCCCCCUCAACUCAUGUGCUCUCUCUCUCUCAAAAUAAAUGAACAUUUAGAAAACAAACAAACAAAGUAUGCCUUUAAAAUGUAAAAGGAGAGGUGCCUGGGUGGCUCAGUCGUUUGAGUGCCUGACUUUGGCUCAAGUCCUGAUCUCAUGGUUCAUGGGUUCAAGCCCUAUGUCACAGUCUGUGCUGACAGCUCAGAGCCAGCAGCCUGCUUCGACAGCCAACAGCCUGUCUGUCUCCCUCUCUCUGCCCCUCCCCUGCUUGCGCUUUGUCUCUCUCUGUCUCUCAAAAAUAAAUAGAUGUAAAAAAAAUUUUUUUAAUUAAAAAACAGUUUUUAAUGUAAAAGGAGAAAGCACUAUGUGACUACCUCUCCUUGUCCCCCAGGCUCCACCCAUUCCAGGCACGGAAUAUGCCUCCCCAUCUCCACCUGUGGAAAUUUACCCCAACCCUAAGCUCAGCUGCAAUGCCACUCCCUGAUCCCAGCUGCCAGAAACAUUUCCCUCUCUUGAAAUCCCAGGGCUUAGACUAGUGGGUGAGAACCCAGGCUCCCCAGGCAGUCUGUGUCUGAAUCCCAGACCAACUACUUACUAGCAGCCUCUCUACCUGUGGUCCCUUACCUGCAAGUGCAUGGUGACGCUAAAUACAAACAAACAGCAACAACAACAAAAUCAUGGGCAUUACAGGUUUAUUAAAAAGAUUAAUAAGAGGGGCACCUGGGUGGCUCAUUCAGUAAGCGUCGGACUCUUGAUUUAGGCUCAGGUCAUGAUCUCACAGUUUGUCGGUUCAGGCCUGAGUCAGGCUCCAUGAUGACGGCAUGGAGUCUGCUUGGGACUCUCUCUCUCUCCCCUCUCUCUCUGCCCCUCCCCACAUGCUUGCUCUCUCUCUCUCUCUCUCUCUCUCUCUCUCUCUCGAUUGUCCUCUCUCUCUCAAAAUCAAUAAAUAAACAUUUAAAAAAAUUAAUAAGAUGAUGUGUGUAGAACACACUUAAUGACACAUGACAAUACCCAAUAAAUAUUAGCUGUCGAAUUUUCACCUAUUCGUUUUCAGGUUUUUCCUGUGCGCUAGGUAGCCAGUUCUCUGGGGACAGGAACUGCCGUCAUGACACCCCUUGCCGAGUUAACACAAUAUCCCAGCUCUGCUGUUUAUGAACUCUGUAGGCUGGGCCUGUCAUUUAAUUUCUGUGUCUCUGUCCCUCAUCUGUAAAAUGGGGAUAAGAUGAAACUUAAAGGCAAGAAUGUAUGUAUACUUUAGCCAUUAUUUGGUGUUUAAGAGUCUAUAUUAAAAUUAUAUUAAAGAGUUAAGGCUCUGAUAUCACAGUGUUUCUCUGACUGUAUUUUUCUGACCUAUACAGUUGAAAUUACAGAUCAAAAUUUGGAGAGAGAGACAGAGAGAGAAAAUGCAGUGUGAGGAUGUUCAGGGCUGGGAAAAUAGCUGCAGGCAGUCUUAUGAGAUAUACUCUCCACAAGAGACAGGAACCCCUCAACUCUGCUCUUACAAGAGGGCCACCACCUCCUCCCUGAUGAAAGUGCGAAGGAGGAGGAGAUGGGAAAAGCAGAGCAAGGAGGAGAAAGGCAAGGGAACACGGGAGAUGAACAGGAGUGGCAGCAGAGGAAAAGAGAAGGGAGAAGAGAGGAAGGCAGAGACAGGAGAGGACAAGGGGACAAAAGAGAUUUGGGAAUAAGGAAGCCCUAACUUAGUGGCCGCCAGUUGGAGUGAUCCAGCGCCUGGAGGUGUGGAAAUUUAAGGGGGUGGUUGUAUGUCCCAACAGUUAAAGUUUGGAUAUGGUGGAUAUCAUGGAACUGUGGAUGGUCCCACAACUAGAUAGUCCCACAUCCUGCUUAACCAUUGAAUUAAUUCACGUAGGUGACAAAGUCAGGACCCCAGUCUAUUUCCCACAUUCACACAGUGUUUUCUCUGGGUUUUGAUAUAGGCUGAAUAUCCCCACAAUGCCACUAAAUUGGAGGGAAAAUUAUAUGUUGCUUUGUUGACAAUUGUUUUUAAUCAGGGGGAGCUUAUAUGCUGUUUUGCUAAUAACUUUACUUAGAUUACUCACCACUGGAAAAAUCUCAUCUCCUGAGGUAAGGCUACUCUCGAUAGGUGACUCACACCACACCCUGUAUCAGCACAUACUCACAUUUGCAGAUUCCACAUAUGGGUGCAAACAUUUGACUACAUCAUUAUGACUUUGCUAUAGUUGGUCCUGAGCUAUAAGUAUCAUACUAUUUACUUUCCAUUUACUUUCCUUUUAUUCUUUCUUUAUGAUUCAGUUGGGCAUAACAUUGAUUUUCAAUUAUGUGUAUAAAUAGAUUAGGUUAUCUAGGAAAGUCAUUUUAGAAUAGUCAAAAGAGUUUUAAUAAAAAAUUUUUUGUGGGCAGGGGGUUUUGGGGACGAUGGGAUUAAACUCCUAUCCUAGAAGCAAUCCUGACCCAUCCUUUCCCUAAUCCAUUUCCCUCUUGACCACUUCAACAGUAGGAGAUGCUGGCC
rnacentral:lncRNA from 1 species